rnacentral:tRNA from 1 species
UACAUAAAAUAAUAAUUUUGGAGAUUAUAGACAAAGAGAUUCUUUUUCUUUGAAGUUUUCAAAGA